rnacentral:rRNA from 1 species
UUGAAAGGGAAACGAUUGAAGUCAGUCGUACCAGCGGGAAUCAACCUUUCGAGUGGGGNUUUUGGAGUUUUUUGAAGAGUGUCAAAACCUUUGAGAUUUCAAAAUAUUCGCUCUUUUGGUGUACUUUCUCGUGGGUAGGUUAACAUCGAUUUUGAUCAUCAUAAAAAGAUUGGAGGAAUGUAGCUUCGAUCUUGUAUUGAAGUGUUAUAGCCUUUGGUAAAUGUGAUGAUUAGGAUCGAGGAUUGCAACGAAUACCCUUUUGGGCUAUCCGCCUGAUCUCUGAUACGUGGCCUUGGCAUCGAAAGCUUGCUUAUGGUAUUAAGGUAUUACGGUCAAAAGGUUAGAACGGAUUACAUUCGUUAAGGAUGUUGACGUA